rnacentral:rRNA from 1 species
UAGGGAAUUGUUCGCAAUGGGCGCAAGCCUGACGACGCAACGCCGCGUGGAGGAUGAAGGACUUCGGUUCGUAAACUCCUUUCGACCGAGAUGAACAGCUUUCGACCUAACACGUUGAGAGCCUGACAGUAUCGAGGGAAGCAGCCCCGGCUAACUCCGUGCCAGCAGCCGCGGUAAUACGGGGGGGGCAAGCGUUGUUCGGAAUUACUGGGCGUAAAGGGUUCGUAGGUGGCCAACUAAGUCAUACGUGAAAUCCCUCAGCUUAACUGGGGAACUGCGUCUGAUACUGGUUGGCUUGAGUGCAGGAGAGGAACGCGGAAUUCCAGGUGUAGCGGUGAAAUGCGUAGAUAUCUGGAGGAACACCGGUGGCGAAGGCGGCGUUCUGGACUGCAACUGACACUGAGGAACGAAAGCCAGGGGAGCAAACGG